CUACAUGUAUUGGUGUAAUAUUCUACGAGAAAUGGUACGAAAUAUGCAUUUUGUACAAAUUGAUGUUGCGGACACAUUUUAUCGUACGAAAUACCAGUCUAGCAAUAAUUUGUCUAAGAUUGAAACCAAGCAAGAUUAAUAGCACUUC